CGGUAAUUCCAGCUCCAAUAGCGUAUACUAAAGUUGUUGCAGUUAAAAAGCUCGUAGUUGGAUUUCUGCGGGGACGGAGCGGCCGGACGCAACUUGCGUCUCGAGCUAGCGCUUUCCCCACAUCCUGCCGCGAACCGUGCUACCAUUAGCUUGGUGGCGCUGGGGAUCGGCUCGAUUACUUUGAGAAAAAUAGAGUGUUCAAAGCAGGCCACACGCCUUGAAUAAGUUAGCAUGGAAUAAUGAUUAAGGACUUCGGUUCUAUUUUGUUGGUGUUCGGGACUGAAGUAAUGAUUGAUAGGGACAGUUGGGGCGGUCUGUAUUCCAAAGCGAGAGGUGAAAUUCUUAGACCUUCGGAAGACAAACAGCUGCGAAAGCGUUCCGCAAGGAUGUUCCCUUUGAUCAAGAACGAAAGUUGGGGGAUCGAAGACGAUCAGAUACCGUCGUAGUCUCAACUAUAAACUAUACCAGCUAGGGAUCGGCCAACGUUUAACUUUAUCGACUUGGUCGGCACCUUAUGAGAAAUCAAAGCAUCUGGGUUCCGGGGGGAGUAUGGUCGCAAGGCUGAAACUUAAAGGAAUUGACGGAAGGGCACCACCAGGCGUGGAGCCUGUGGCUUAAUUUGACUCAACACGGGAAAACUUACCAGGUCCAGACAUAGGAAGGAUUGACAGAUUGAUAGCUCUUUCUUGAUUCUGUGGGUGGUGGUGCAUGGCCGUUUUUAGUCGGUGAAGUGAUUUGUCUGCUUAAUUGCGUUAGCGGACGAGACCCCAGCCUGCUAAAUAGUGGCGUGUUUCUCCGGAAAUGCGUGUCACUUCUUAGAGGGACUUUGACGCCUAAGCGCAAGGAAGUUUGAGGCAAUAACAGGUCUGUGAUGCCCUUAGAUGUUCUGGGCUGCACGCGCGCUACACUGAUGCGUUCAACGAGCAUAUAACCUUGUCUGAUAAGAUUGGGUAAUCUUUUGAAAACGCAUCGUGAUGGGGAUAGAUUAUUGUAAUUAUUAGUCUUCAACGAGGAAUUCCUAGUAAGCGCGAGUCAUCAGCUCGUGCUGAUUACGUCCCUGCCCCUUGUACACACCGCCC
rnacentral:rRNA from 1 species